AUGCUUUUUAGGUAUAAUGAUGGACGACUCUGAAAUAAAGGAGCUUAUUAUUCUAACUGGGAAAUAUGCCACAAUUUAAAGCUGGGACAGAAUGAUAUAAUAUAUAGCUUCAGAACAAUAUUAAGAAAGGAGUUAUUAACCAACUGCGGGACCUUCCAGAACUUCAUACAUUGAAUUGCUGAUAUACAAAGUGCUAUUAACAAAAGAAGGAAAAUUUGAGGAAGUUGGAUUUGCCUCUCCAUCCUUUUAUUGUUGUGUAGAAGCCAGUGGUUUAAGAGUGGAGAAAAUAUUUGUAUGUAAUAAUAACGUUUUAUAUCUUGUUUUAUUAAUAAAUAAUGAUUUUACCUUAACACAA
rnacentral:lncRNA from 1 species